rnacentral:rRNA from 1 species
UACGAAGGGUGCAAGCGUUACUCGGAAUUACUGGGCGUAAAGCGUGCGUAGGUGGUGAGUUAAGUCUGUCGUGAAAGCCCCGGGCUCACCUGGGAAUGGCGAUGGAUACUGGCUCGCUAGAGUGCGGUAGAGGAGAGUGGAAUUCCCGGUGUAGCAGUGAAAUGCGUAGAUAUCAGGAGGAACACCGAUGGCGAAGGCAGGUCUCUGGGCUGACACUGACGCUCAUGCACGAAAGCGUGGGGAGCAACAGG